GCCCUUCCGAAUUCGUCGACAACAGAGUUUGAUCCUGGCUCAGAACGAACGCUGGCGGCGCGUCUUAAGCAUGCAAGUCGUACGAUAGCAGUACUUCGGUACUGUGAAAGUGGCGAACGGGUGAGUAACACGUAGGUGAUUUGCCUUGGGACUGGGGAUAGCCCAUGGAAACAUGGGGUAAUACCGAAUACGUCCUGUCUGCUAUGGCGGACAGGAGAAAGGUGCGUUUGCACCAUCCCAAGAUAAGCCUGCGGCGUAUUAGCUUGUUGGUAGGGUAAAGGCCUACCAAGGCGAUGAUACGUAGCCGGCCUGAGAGGGUGAUCGGCCACACUGGGACUGAGAUAC
rnacentral:rRNA from 1 species